rnacentral:lncRNA from 12 species
GUGCCCAGACCUGGGAGGAGAGGGGCAUGUCCUAAAUCCAGACUGUGUUCUGCCCCCAAGCUGCGACCCCUGGUACCUGAGCAGAGCACCUGCUUGCUUCAGAUUCACCCUUUAGGAAAAUGCAGAGCUUCGCAGACAAGAUGGUGUAAAAAGUAAGCAAGUUUGGUCGAUGGCAUCACUUUCAGGCACUGUGAGACAUGGAGCAUCCAGAGUGCUAUGCAGUUUCCAGAACAAAGUCCCAACAACCACAGCACAACGCUGAGCAGUCAGCUCCAGUUCUCCAAGCUGGUGAUUGAACAACUAGAAAAGCCAAAUCAAAUCAUCAUCAUCAUCAUCACCAUCAUCACCAUCAUCAUCAUCAUCAUCUACUUAAAGGCAUUCAGAAAGCUGCUGAAUCAACCAGAACUAGAGGGGCCAAAAUUCUGAAACAAUGUUGAGGUGAGUUGACAAACUGCAGCCACUUUUUCCCUGGGGCAUUUGCAAUUUUGGACACUUAGAAAUCUAGAGUUUUCCUGGGCAAGGAUACUGCUGCUGGGGGACAGAGAAACCAGCAGAAUUUCAGCAGUGUCUUAGGACUGGAGAGACUAUCCUAGAGAGAAGGGAGGGAUAGAAAAGUGAGCUUGAUGUUGGCAUUUUCCCCCUUAAGAUAUUUGGUAAAUUCUGAAGCAGUGCAGGCCAAGGGGCUAGAAGCCAAACAGAAAGCCCCUGAAAAACAGAGCAGAGUGUCCAGCAGUCUUGCCAUGUUAUGGCUACAGAAUUAGAGCACAGGACCAGGGGGAGGUGCCUCGGUGAACAUCUGAAGUUCUCAGUUGGACUCUCUGAAAGGCAGAGCCUUAGAGGGGGGAGCCAAAGUCAGAUGGUCUCUUAUUAAAACUGCAACCCAGCCUCUACCCAGCUCAGCCCCUGAUUGGAUUAAGAUGCUUAGUACCCCUGCCACCUGCAUGCAGAGAAAGGGCGAGGCCUCCCCAGAGUUAGAUAUUACCUGGAGACUUUAUAUAUAUAUUUUUCAUACACAGAUG